rnacentral:ncRNA from 2 species
AGAGGAAGCCGGUGCGAAUCCGGCGCGGUCCCGCCACUGUCACCGGGGAGCACGUCCCCACCCGAGCGUCACGGCCGCGUGAGCGGCUGGAAGGCCGGGGGCGUGCCGAUCCGGGAGCCAGGAGACUC